rnacentral:lncRNA from 1 species
GUUAACCUGAGUGAGAAAUCUUCAAAGAACAGAAUUAACUUCACAGGGAGCUCUGCUGCCUGCCCGGAGCACAGUGUUCCUUGCUCUGUGUUCCGCCUGGAGCACAGUGUUCCUUGCUCUGUGUUCCGCCUGGCGCUUCUCACAUCAUGAACUUGGUUCUGGUUAUUUCUUUACUUCUCAAACUCCCAUGGAUCAUUCUUUCUCUGCAUUGCUUUUUCCAUGGACUGGACAUUGCUAGAGACUGAAUGUGUGUCUCUUCAAAAUUCAUGUUUAAAUCUAACCUCCAAGGUGAUGGUGUCAGGAGGUGGGGCCUUUGGGGGCUGCUGAGGUCAUGAGGGUGGAGCUUUUUGAACGGGUUUAGUACCCAGAGAGCUCUCUUGCCCUUCCACCGUGUGAGGACUCAGCAAGAAUGCGCUAUGGCCCCACCACGCAUCUAUGAACCAGGAAGUGAGUCCUCACCAGACACAGUGUCUCCUGGUGACUUGAUCGUAGGGUUCCAGAGGCUUCCAGAACUAUGGAUUAUAUAUGAUACUGGAAAUAAAAUACAGUACCUUGGAGAUAUUGCAGAUUCAGUUUCAGACCACUACAGUAAAGUGAAUAGCACAACAAAGAACUGA